rnacentral:sRNA from 1 species
GUCGUGAGAUGUUGGGUUAAGUCCCGCAACGAGCGCAACCCUCGUUCCAUGUUGCCAGCGGGUUAUGCCGGGGACUCAUGGGAGACUGCCGGGGUCAACUCGGAGGAAGGUGGGGAUGACGUCAAGUCAUCAUGCCCCUUAUGUCCAGGGCUUCACGCAUGCUACAAUGGCCGGUACAAAGGGCUGCGAUACCGCAAGGUGGAGCGAAUCCCAAAAAGCCGGUCUCAGUUCGGAUCGGGGUCUGCAACUCGACCCCGUGAAGUCGGAGUCGCUAGUAAUCGCAGAUCAGCAUUGCUGCGGUGAAUACGUUCCCGGGCCUUGUACACACCGCCCGUCACGUCACGAAAGUCGGCAACACCCGAAGCCGGUGGCCUAACCCCUUGUGGGAGGGAGCCGUCGAAGGUGGGGCUGGCGAUUGGGACGAAGUCGUAACAAGGUAGCCGUACCGGAAGGUGCGGCUGGAUCACCUCCUUUCUAAGGAGCACCUGGCCUGUAAUGAGGUCCAGGAGCCCGCACCAGCCGGAUGUGUUGGUGGGGUGCUCAUUUGGCGGAGACACUGGCGAGUCGGUGCCGGCAACGGCCCAUCGAUGUCUAGUACAGCCGUCCCUUUGGUUUGGGGUGGUGGGAACGACUGUGUGGUGGGUGCGGCUGGUGGCGGCGGUGAACACCCUGUUGGGUCCUGAGGGAACAAGCACGGCCCCGCUUCGGUGGGGCCUUCUUGCUGCUUCGGGCCUUCCCGAGCCUCGUGCGCAACUGCUCUGGUCUCCUGUUUUGGGGGGUUGGGGUGUGGCGUGUGGUGGUUGGUUUGGGGUUGGUUGUUGUUUGAGAAUUGCACAGUGGACGCGAGCAUCUUUGUGGUCAAGUUGUCAAGGGCAAACGGUGAAUGCCUUGGCACCAGGAGCCGAUGAAGGGCGUGGGAGGCCGCGAUAGGCCUGGGGGAGCUGUCAACCUAGCUGUGAUCCCAGGGUGU